UAAUACAAUAAAAUGCUCCGCAGGGCGCAGCUUGAUACGACCGCAGAGGUCGAACCCUGAACAGUUGGGGCAAGUAUGGACACAACAUUCAAGCUUGAUACAGCUCUGAAUUUGGAUUGUGAUUAAAUAUUUGACACAGCAUAGGUUUCUGACACAGAAUGAAUGUGGUCUAAGAACUUAAAAAUUUUAAAUUGGACAUUCACCUAUUAUGGUCCAAUAUCCAAAAUCUAAAUACAUGGUUAGAUUCAGCAUAUCAAAGAACCCCAAGAAUUCAAUUAUUGAUGAAAUCAAACAAAGUUUAAUUUUGGACCCCGAUUUGGACCAACUUGAAAACUGGGCCCAUAAUCAAAAAUCUAAAUACAUGUUUAGAUUAAGCAUAUCAAAGAACCCUAAAAAUUCAAUUUUUGUUAAAAUCAAACUAAGUUUAAUUUUGGACCCUUUGGACCUUAAUGUAGACCAAUUUGAAAACGGAACCAAAAAUUAAGAAUCUAAAUACACAGUUAGAUUCGGCAUAUCAAAGAACCCCAAUAAUUCAAUUUUUGAUGAAAUCAAACAAAGUUAAAUUUUGGACCCUUUUGACCUCAAUGUGGACAAAGUUGAUAACAGGGCCCAAAAAUCAAAAAUCUAAAUACAUGGUUAGAUUCAGCAUAUCAAAGAACCCCAUAUAUUCAAUUUUUGUUGAAAUCAAACAAAGUUUAAUUUUGGACCCCGAUUUGGACCAACUUGAAAACUGGGCCCAUAAUCAAAAAUCUAAAUACAUGUUUAGAUUCAGCAUAUCAAAGAACCCUAAAAAUUCAAUUUUUGUUAAAAUCAAACUAAGUUUAAUUUUGGACCCUUUGGACCUUAAUGUAGACCAAUUUGAAAACGGAACCAAAAAUUAAGAAUCUAAAUACACGGUUAGAUUCAGCAUAUCAAAGAACCCCAAUAAUUCAAUUUUUGAUGAAAUCAAACAAAGUUAAAUUUUGGACUCUUUGGACCUCAAUGUGGACCAAUUUAAAAACGGGGAACAAAAUCCAAAAACUUAAUACACGGUUAGAUUCAGCAUAUUAAAGAACCCCAAGAAUUCAAGAAUAAAACCCCAUUGAAAUUGAUCAAGAAAUAAGCAAUUUAUACGAAGUAUCUUCUUUUGCACAAUACUGUGCAAUUGAAUAUUUCUUGCUAUUGCGCAAUACUGUACAAUUGACAAUUUCUUGCUAUUGCGCAAUAUUGUGCUAUUGGAUAUUUCUUGCUAUUGCGCAAUACUGUGCAAUUGAAGAUUUCUUGCUAUUGCGCAAUACUGUGCAAUUGAAGAUUUCUUGCUAUUGUGCAAUACUGUGCAAUUGAAAAUUUCUUGCUAUUGCACAAUACUUAUUAGAUAAUAAUUUACACAUCCUGUUUGGUGUGUAUCUCCUACCAUAUCAUUAUUAUUUGCUUUUAAAUAUUAAUCAGAAAUAACCAACUUAAAAUGGAAAAUUUUUAAAGAAAAAAAAAAGGAAAAAAAGAAAAAAAAAGAAAAAAAAAAAUCCCCCCCAAAUUUUUUGAACCCCCUUAUGAUUCAUCACCCCCAAACUCAAUCCCAGCCUUCCCUUUGUGGUAUGGUACCUUGCAGUACAAUUUCAGAGAGAUCCAUACACUUGAACACAAGUUAUUGUCUGGAAACUAGAAAAAUGCUUAUUUUUGGCCCCUUUUUGGCCCCCAAUUCCUAAACGUUUUGGGCAAUUACCCCCAAACUCAAUUCCAGCUUUCCCUUUGUGAUAUGGAACCUUGUAGUACAAUUUCAGAAAUAUCCAAACACUUACACACAAGUUAUUGUCAUGAAACUAGAAAAAUGCUUGUUUUUUGCCCCUUUUUUGGCCCCUAAUUCCUAAAAUUUUGAGGCAAUUACCCCCAAAAUCAAUUACAGCCUUUCCUUUGUGAUAUGGAACCUUGUGGUACAAUGUCAGAGAUAUCCAUACACUUACACACAAGUUAUUGUCUGGAAGUUACAAAAAUGCUUAUUUUUGGCCCCUUUUUGGCCCCUAAUUCCUUAACUGUUGGUACCAUAACCCCCAAAAUCAAUCCCAACCUUCCUUUCGUGGUAUUGAACCUUAUGGUAAAAUUUCAUGGAGAUCCAUUCACUUAAACUAAAGUUAGAGUGCGAAAACCAAUGUGUCUUCGAACGACGCCGGACGACGCCAGACGACGACGACGACGACGACGACGACGACGCCGGACGACGACGACGCCAACGUCAUACCAAUAUACGACCAAAAAAUUUUUAAUUUUUGCGGUCGUAUAAAAAUGAUU